CGCCCUGCCGCGCCGUCAACUUCUGGCCGCCGCGGCCGCUCCGCCGCCGCCGCCGCCACCACCGCGGGACUUUUUUUUUCCUCUCGCUCCUCGGCUGCCUCAGGAAUUUUUUUUUUUCACUUGCCCUCUCCAGCUCCCACUAGUGAUUGGAGACUGAGAGCCAAGUACUUAGCGGAGGGAUUACACUUCUCAACGCACUUGGAGCGGCCCCAGCGCCACCGCCUGUGUGCGGAGCGCUGAGCGGACUUGGGGAGCUGUUGGGUGCGGGAUGGAGACAGCCGGGGUCGAGGGGUGCGCUUCCCAAGUCCCGUCCGCUGCUCAGAGCAUCCCCAAGAUUUCCAUCUUGGGUGCUGUCCUGGUUAUGUUUAACAGGGUUUCCAGAAAACCUCUUGGUUUGAAGAACAAAGAUUCGUGUAAUUAUUGUACCUUGAGAGCUGGAAGGGGCUCACAGAGAUGAUAUAAUGUGGAUUUAAACUUUUCAGGGCCAUAGACACUCUUCAGAAAUUCAUAAAACGUUGACACACCUCCUAAAAUAUGAACACAUCAAAAUUAUGCCCGCACUUUGAAGUAAUGGAGAAGUAUGGGAGAUUUGUAAGCCAGAAAGUCAAAUGGUAGAGUGGGAUUUUCAGAAGAUUAUUUAGAGAGCAAGAUCUUACCAAAUCCUUUAGUCACGGUCUGUUUUGUUGCACUCAUAUGGGUGUUACUGCAAAGGUGAAAAACUAAUGACUGCAGCAGGAAAAAAAAUUGGAUGUGUCAUGAAUUAUGGCCUUGUUUAUACUUCUACUUUAACCAUAAUCAUUUGUUUAAACAGAAAGUUCUGCAUUUGAAUUGCCACAAUUGUGGAUGUGUUAUAAACAUCUCGUGUUUCACCCAGGCUCAGCCAACACUUGCUUUUGUUGACACUCAUAAUCGAGAAAUAAAAUAUUAUACUAACACAAAAUUAUCCUUCAUAAGAGAAUAUAAACAGAAGAGUGGUUCAUAAACAUACUAAUUAAGAUUUCUACUAUCAUUUAUUAACAAACAUUUUUGUGUCAUCUUAAAAUAAGUAAAACCUUAUGACAUGCUAACAA